GGAGGAAUCAGAUAAUCCUGUAUCUGAUCAUACAUUGAUAAAAUACAAUAUGCACACAAAUCCAGCAUGAUUGUCACUUUACAUAAAUGGAUUUUGAUUUUGAGAAUACAGAUUAAGCCACACUGGGAUCCAGUGGUACAAAAUAAUGUGACCUUUCACUCCAAUGAGCGGUAACAUCAUGUAAAUGAUGUUGGAGAGCAAGCGGUCUUCACUCCAGCUCAUGAUUCCCUUCAAAAGUUUAAGAAUCUGCAAGAAGCUGAAAGAGAAAAUAGUAAAAGUUAAAUUUCUUGCAGGGCUCCCUAGGCAGUCUUUUUCCAUGUCUGGAUAAGUAGGUAUUAGAAAAAAAGAAAAUAUUCCCCAACUACAUUUUCACACUCCCCGGAACUUUCCAAGAUUUUGCCACGUUACAACCACAAACUUCCAAGCAUUUUAUUAGAAUUAUAUGUGAUAGACGCCACAGCCUAGCACAAAGUCGUGAAGCGGAAGGAAAAGGAUGCAUGGUCCUUGCUGAAGAAAAGCUUCACCACAGCAUGAUGCUGCCACCACCAUGUUUUACCAUGCAGAUGCCGUGUUCAGAGCACUUUCUUCUAGAUGUUUGCAGUGUUGCCGGGCCAGGACUCGAACCCGGGACAGCCACGUCAAGGACUGAGUACAUGGGUCACGCUCUCUAUCGCUGCCACUACACCAAAAUGGCCAGAUUUCUAGAGUGAAUGACUGAUGCCGGUACAACUUGGAAGGAAGUCCAUCUGUCUGCAGUUUUGGUCACUUUAUGGGUUAUUAUUUGUCAUUGGACUUCUUCACUUGUUCUUUACACAUGGGGUGGCCCCUGAAAUACCCACCCACACCUACAAACAGGUGGUAUUUGUUUGGUCAGGAAAAGGAAGUGAUGCCAUGCUGUGAGAUUCUCCCGCUGGUGAAUAAUUUUAUUUUGAAAUACCCACCUUUUUAUUUUUAGCCCUACAGAAGAUAAACACAGACAAAAAAAGCUUUCUAAGCACGUGAUGUAGACGAUUUAAAUCACAGCAGAAUCAGUUUCAUUAGAUCAGUCGGAUUUAAAGGAGCACUGCUGCUGGUGCCUUGACUUUGCCUUUCUCCGAUAUUUUUCACAAGCUUCGCGUUUGGGACUGAUGUAGUGAAGCUUUCAUCUUUUUACAGACCACACACUCAAUUACAUAAAAGGCUUCCUUACAAACAAAAAAAAACGAUACUUGCUAAUAAAUUAGCUCGGCAAACUGUAAUCAUGUGGUUUUAUGGCUUUCGGUUUGCUCAAUGAGACCUGACUAAUAGUGAUAUGUGGUGGGUAAUUUUGGAUUCGAGGGAAGGCGUCAGACCCAUUCCCACUGUGUGGCCUGAGAGGACAGAAGUGUGGGAGGGGAUGGAUUUGGCCUUGCUUGAAUGAUCUAAGCUACUUUUUUUUUGUUGUUGGAGUAAAUAGAGUAGAACAAACGGCAUCAAGCUUGCCAACAGAACUUUAACUUUUAAAUUCAAAGUGUCUCUAUUUUGGACAACAUCCAAAAAAACGACAUGCCGCCUUUUAAAAGCUCCACUCAACAUUUUGCCCUUUGGACCCCACCUUUACAGCUCUAACCUCUCCCUGUCUUUGGUUGUACAGGAAAUGGCUGUAAUUAGUUAAAUCUCUCCUGUCCAUGUCGCUCAGUCAGGAUCUGGAUGCUCAGUGAUGACAGUCAUCUUCUUUAUGGCUGCCAGAAGAUGUGCCUGACUGAUUCUGGUACUCUCUGCAGACUGUUUAAUUGGAUCUUUACACAAUAGGUUCUAGAAGGGAGGAAGUGGAUGUCUAACACUUGGUCUAAUAAUAAUCAAACCUGUUAGAAAGAUUCGUCUAAAUGCCACGUCUCCUCUGCUUCACUGACGGUAUCAACCUCAGCUUGCAUUCUGAGCGGCCUCCUGUUGAUUUGGUGCCAACUUCUGAAGAAGUAUCACUUUAACAUCUAAAGAUUUGGAUUAAUAAACCACCGAUCCAUACGUCUUAAAGUUUCUCACCAGUUCCCAAAUUACAACCAUUAACUUCGAUGGAUUUUUUUGGGUUUUCAUCUAUUUGGCUACAAGCCGUGCAUAAUUGUGACGUGGAAGGAAAAUUAUACGUUGUUUUCACAUUAUGUUUUCUAAAUAAAAAUGUAAUAACUGUG